AUAAUUCUGAGGCAUGACUGUGAAGGUACACUACUGUCCUUCCCAGUGUACAGCCAUUCUGACAAAAAAAAUGAGUAGGAAGAAGAUUUGUAAAAUACACUAUUUAUUGUGGCUAUGUCAAAGGAAACAUUCUCUAGGCUGUUGAACCUCACUUUCAACCAAGAAGAUCUGCCUCUGUGAACAGACUUAAUUCUGUCUGCUAGUUGGGAGGACAUAAAAUAUUAUUGUAGGUAUUCAUGCCAUAAUUUAAGAGAUUUUGUGGUUAAAUAAAUCAAUUAACAUUUUAA